rnacentral:rRNA from 1 species
UACGUAGGGGGCGAGCGUUGUCCGGAUUUAUUGGGCGUAAAGAGCUCGUAGGCGGUUUGGUAAGUCGGGUUUGAAAUCUCCACGCUCAACGUGGAGGGGCCACUCGAUACUGCCAUGACUCGAGUCCGGUAGAGGAGUGUGGAAUUCCCGGUGUAGCGGUGAAAUGCGCAGAUAUCGGGAGGAACACCCGUAGCGAAGGCGGCACUCUGGGCCGGAACUGACGCUGAGGAGCGAAAGCGUGGGGAGCAAACAGG